UACGUAGGGUGCAAGCGUUGUCCGGAAUUAUUGGGCGUAAAGAGCUCGUAGGCGGUUUGUCGCGUCGAAUGUGAAAACCCGGGGCUCAACCCCGGGCCUGCAUUCGAUACGGGCAGACUAGAGUUCGGUAGGGGAGUCUGGAAUUCCUGGUGUAGCGGUGAAAUGCGUAGAUAUUGGGAGGAACACCAGUGGCGAAGGCGGCUCACUGGACCGGUACUGACGCUGAUGCGCGAAAGCGUGGGGAGCAAACGGG
rnacentral:rRNA from 1 species